rnacentral:rRNA from 1 species
GAUGAACGCUGGCGGCGUGCCUAAUACAUGCAAGUCGAGCGAACAGACGAGGAUCUUUCUCCUCUGACGUUAGCGGCGGACGGGUGAGUAACACGUGGAUAACCUACCUCUAAGACUUGGAUAACUUCGGGAAACCGGAGCUAAGACCGGGUCAUAUAUUCGACCGCAUGGUUGGAUAGUGAAAUACGGGUUUGCUGUUACUUAUAGAUGGAUCCGCGCCGCAUUGGCGGGUUGGUAAGAUAACGGCUUACCAGGGCAGCGAUGCGUAGCCGACCGGGGCGAGGGAUAGGCGGCACGGGAAGUGGACCACGGUCACGACUACUACGGGAGGCAGCAGUAGCGAAUCUUCGGCAAUGGGGGAAAGCAUUACGGAGCAACGCCGAGUGAGUGAUAACGGUCUUGGGAUAGUAAAACUCUGUUAUGAGGGAAAAACAACUGUGUAAGUAAAUAUGGACGUCUUGACGGUACCUACAGAGAAAGCCACGGCUAACUACGUG